rnacentral:rRNA from 1 species
UACAGAGGUCCCAAGCGUUGUUCGGAUUCACUGGGCGUAAAGGGUGCGUAGGUGGUGGGGUAAGUCGGAUGUGAAAUCUCCGAGCUCAACUCGGAAAUGGCAUUGGAAACUGCCCUGCUAGAGGGUCGGAGGGGGACUGGAAUGCCUGGUGUAGCAGUGAAAUGCGUAGAUAUCAAGCGGAACACCAGUGGCGAAGGCGA